AGGGCACCACCAGGAGUGGAGCCUGCGGCUUAAUUUGACUCAACACGGGAAAACUUACCCGGCCCGGACACUGGAAGGAUUGACAGAUUGAGAGCUCUUUCUUGAUUCAGUGGGUGGUGGUGCAUGGCCGUUCUUAGUUGGUGGAGCGAUUUGUCUGGUUAAUUCCGAUAACGAACGAGACUCUAGCCUACUAAAUAGACCAGAGGCUUCUUAAAACACGUCUCUGGCUGCUUCUUAGAGGGACAGGCGGCGAUUCAGCCGCACGAAACAGAGCAAUAACAGGUCUGUGAUGCCCUUAGAUGUCCGGGGCCGCACGCGCGCCACACUGAAGUGAUCAGCGUGCUUUUUGUACCCUGCUCUGCCAAGAGUGGGUAACCCAAUGAACCUUCUUCGUGAUUGGGAUAGGGGAUUGUAAUUAUUCCCCUUGAACGAGGAAUUCCCAGUAAGCGCGAGUCAUAAGCUCGCGUUGAUUACGUCCCUGCCCUUUGUACACACCGCCCGUCGCUACUACCGAUUGAA
rnacentral:rRNA from 1 species